AAAAAUAAUAAUUGAAGAAAAUACAAGAAUAUUUUUACAAAUUUGCCGGUAAAAACCCUCCAAUUCACCGGUAAAUCGAACAAAAGAAAAAAUACACCCCUCCUGAAAAACAAAUCCACCGGUAAAAAUCCUGAAAAAAUCACCUCCUAAUCCCACCAUUUUACCGUCUCCUCGCCCCUCCAUCCACCCAUUCUCAGCCUUUCACUCUCAUUUUCACUUCUCACCCAAAAGUACAGAGGAGUGAAAAACCCUCAAACCACCGCUAGAGAGAGGAAAGAUUAGCAGAGAGGAUCUUGGAAUUUGGGAAUUUGCUCCGAGUGAUUAACGCUUUGGAGGGGGUUUUACAAUUUGGGGUUUUUUCUCUGAGUGAUUAACGCUUUGGAGGGGGUUUUGCAAUUUGGGGUUUUUUCUCUGAGUGAUUAACGCUUUAGAGGGGGUUUCGCAACUUUCUGUGAGAUGCAACGACAGAGGUAGCAGGUGGCGAACACAACACAGAGAAAUCCAAGAAAGAAAAAUCCCGCUGCUUGUAUCUAAAGACGAUUGCUUAUAACAAAUCUUCAUUUGCAAAGAUUUGGCUGAUGGCUGUCCAGUUUAAAUACCGCAGUUAAAUAUUGAUGGGCAAGGCGAAUUUUGGAGUCGGCAAUUGGCAUGGCUCCCAAAGAUAAGAAUUUUGGCAGGCAGAGAUAUGCUCAGCAGCAUGAAUUAAAGAUUUGAUGCACUGCCCGGGAUUCCGAAAUGCAGAAAUAAAUACUUUUGCAAUAGUAUGGAAGAAGUUUAUACUGUAAAUUUCAUAGCAUGUCUAUACAACAAUCAUUUAUUAUACCUUCCGUAGGUAGUCAUACUACAACACAACUUUUGAAAUGACUAAUCAGCUUGUGAAAUGGAGUGUUGUUCUAGGAGCAAAGGAUUUGCUUAAGCGAUCACAUGGCAUCGAUUAUUUACACAGCUGAAGCAAGAAAGGCAGGAUAGAGCAAGGUUUCAAGGCAAAAGUUAUGCAGAGGUGAUCCCGUUACUUAUAUGCAGUAUGUGUUGUAGUUUUUGUUUGUGAUCUCUUGAAGGCUUCUGGAAUUCAUAAUUGGAAUGGCAUGUGGUGACGUCUUUGAGAACUUUGCAGUCUCUUUUUUCAAGCAUAAAGACAAAAGAAUGAAUCUGCUCGUGUAGUAGACACUUGCUCUUCCGUGCUUGGACUCAGGUCGAAGUUUGUCGCUUUUACCAUCCUCUGACAACAACAUUGCAUCCACUCGAUAGGACUUGGCAGGGAAUGAAAACACUUGCUGAACUAAGGAUGAAGAAAACCUUCCAAACAAGGAUUCACUUUACAUGGUGAGAACAUAACUCCUUUCUUUCCUACUCCAACCUUAAGAAAGAAAUAGAAAUGGAUCAAUACACAAAUUGAGGGGUACUUCUACUACAGGUAGAUUGUAUUUUAAAUUGGUGAUUUUAGAAAAAUUAUUCUUUAAUAUGUUCUGUUAUUUAUUAAAGUUUUAGCUUUAGUAUUUUACAUUUAUGCUCCAUGCACAAGUUUAUAAUUAAAUGUUAUCAUAUGUAGACUAAUAAGAUAAUUUUUUUUAUUAAAUGCUAUGUAGUAUUAUUCACCUCGUUAAUAAGUUUUAAUUUGACUUAAAAAAUUAGAACUACUAAUAGACGUCUUUUCAGUUAAAAGCUACUAAAAUUAUAUUUAGGUGGUAGUAGUAGUAUCGUUGUAUAACUAAUUCUCAUUUAUUAAUAAAAAUAGUCCUUAAGGGUAUAAAUGUCUUCUCACACUUUUAUCUAUGUAGUGUAAAGAAAUCUAUGGUUAUUAGAUAGUUUAUUUUUCUAUUGAAACUUUGUCUCUUGACAAAUUUUUAUUUGUUAUUAAGAAGAGAAUUAAGUUAUCAUUCAUAGUUUUUAUGUAUAAUUGAAACAUAGAUUACUUGAUGUUAUUUGAUCAUAAUAUUGUUCAUUACUCUGUGUGUUUGAUCACAAUAUAUUAUAAAAAAAAGGAGGUAAUCCUUUUAUCUUUUGAUGGCUCCUUUAUGCAUUUUGUUAUUAUGGUCAGUAUGUUUUUUCAUUGUUCUAUAAACAAACUCUUGUUUGCAGUUCUGAUUUAUUGUCUUUAUUUUUCGGGUGUUAGCUGAUACGUAAUUGAACAAGUGUACAAGUUUCUGAAUAUUUGUGCCUUCAGCAUGUUUAUGAAAUAUGACAUUUCCUUUGAUGAUUUUGCUUGCUUGCAGCUUCUGAUUUAUUGACUUUGCUUUCUUGGUGUUAACUGAUACAUAAUUGAACAUGUGUACAUGAUUCUGCAUUAUGGAGUAGGUGGAUAAUAUAUUUUUCACAAAUAUAAUCAAUAACUAAACAUACUUAUAUUUCCUUUUGAAUAUAUCAGAUGAUAGAAAACCAUAACAAAGUAACUGUUAGUGAUGUUAAGAGACCCUAAUUUGAAGGUAUGUGGUAGUUUUUGAUACAUUACAGUUGGAAGUUAUAGGAGUCAGAUUCAACUAUUGUGUUAUUGUGUUUGGUCGAUUUUUUGCCUAUAUUGUUAUGGUACUCAUUUUCACCAGAAUUGGGAUUGAUGUGUUUGAAUCCUUGUAUAGAUGUUAAAAAGAUUGUGCUACUUCUGGAGAGUUCAUGGCCUCUACCACUCUGGGCCAUGUGAGUCGGCUCCUUCAUAAACAGGCUUUUGUAACUCAUAAUUGGAAUGACAUGUAGAGAGGUUUUGGAUAAUUUUAUAGUCUGUUUUACCAGCAUAAAGACAAAAGGUAAUGUGCCUUGUGGCAUUGAUGGUCUAUUUCUGCAUUGUGGUAUGUGAAACUGUUUGUGUUCAACACCUUGCUGCCAGACUUUCUGAAUUUGUUCAGGUGCUGAAACUCUAUUGUUGCUCUCCAUUCUUCAGCUUUUUGGUGCUUACGUUACACAAUGAACUAAAAUACAACCUUGUAAGAGUCCUAGGUUAUUCCAAAAAGAGUCCUAGAAUGUAAGAUGAUGAUUGCUAGGUUGCUAAAAAAAAAAGACUUACAUUUUCCUCCUUUUCCCCCAUACAUUGUAAAGCUAUUAAAAUUAUUACUCUAUUCUAUCUUUUUACAGUAUGAUUUUUCAAUAUUUUCAUUCUGUUAGAUGCAUUAUUAAUUAAAUUACAUGUUACUUGGCAAUCUUAUUUUAUAAAAUGAAUCUGCUCGUGUGGUAGACACUGUGCUCUUGCGUGCUUGGACUCAGGUCGAGUUUGUUGCUUUUUACCAUCCUGUGGAAACAAUAUUGCAACCACUAGAUACGAUUUGGCAGCAACGAAAACACUUGCUGAUACAAGGAUGGAAAAAACUUUCCAAUGCCAGCCAAUAAGGAUUCAACUUACUUAUAACUCCUUUCCUUUCCUACUCCAACCUUAAGAAAGAAAUGGAAAUGGAUUAAUAAACAAAUUGAGGGGUACUUCUAAAUUCUAAUAAAGGAGGAUUGAUAAGUUUUUAUGCGUGAUUUUAUAAUAUUUAUUCUUUAACAUUUUUUGUUAUUUGUUGAAGUUUUAGCUUUACUAUUUUAUGUUUGUGAUAAAUGUGAUAAAUGUAGACUAAUAGGAUAAAAAGAUAUUUAGUAUUAAUCACCUCUUUAAUAAGUUUUAAUCCGUCUUUUCGUUAAAAACUACUAAAAUUAUAUUUAGGUACUACUAUCCUUUUACAAUUAAUUCUCAUUUAUUAAUAAAAGUAGUCCUUAAUGGUAUAUAUCU